ensembl:lncRNA
GUGUAUUUGAAAACACAGACCCCUGAGUGGAAAAAGGUCUUCAUUUUCUUUAUUUAUCUGAUGUCAUAUGAAUAGGUGAUGAAUGUUACUGUUUUUGAGAAUGCCUCCUUGCUGCUCCCCGGAGAAACCUUCCUCAGCAGCCACAUACGCCUGUUGCCCAAUGUUCUCAGCCUGAUCCUGCGAUUCCCCGUCAAUGUCUACGUCCUGCAGAUUAUAAUGUCGCGAAACAUGUUCACCUCGGAGUUCUACUCUUUCAAACAGGCCCUUUUUGAAGUUAUGUGCUUCUACGACUUUUUGGGAGUGGUCUUCUUUGUGUCCCCGAACUGGUAUUUGUGGAAAAUCCAGCACUUUUUCCUGGGAUUCAUAAUGACGGCUCGCCCGUGUCUCCUGGCGUUGAUUUGCGUGGAGCGCUACCUGGCAGUGGUUAAACCUGUGGCCUUCCUGAGGAUGAAGUCACUGAAGUACAAACUGGCCAUGUCAGCGAUUAUCUGGUUGUGGACUGUGACUACUGGCGUGUGCAUCUUGGUGUUGACGGAUUUUAAAAACGGUCUUGUGUGGCAGAUCGCUGUGUGUUGCAUAGUGAACCUUUACUGUUGCAUCGCUACCCUUCACGCACUGAGACGGCCCGGUCCAGGAGAAGGGCCCAGGCAGAGAGAGGGGAUGA